GUGGGGUUGCAUACCGGUGUCCCCGCUGGGUACCGGAGGACAAGGGGCCACAGCAUCCUGGGGUGUCUUUGCCAGGAUGCUCCACACCAGGUUUUCUGUCCACCGCAGGAUUUAGGAAGCGCUUGGCAAGCGCUCGGUGAGUGCCCAUGCACUGCAGCAAUGAUCGAUACAGCUCUCAGCUUCGCCCCUUACCACCAGCACAGAGCAGCGUGGGAGCUGUUACGGCCGGGGGCUGCCGGCAGGAUCCAUCCCUGCAACCCCAUCUGCUCCGGUUCAAAGGGCUGAGAUGGAGCUCUGUGCUGCGGUGAAAUCGGCGUUGGAGGGAUUAGGGCAGGAGGGGCCGGUGCUGCUGGGAGCAGAGUGGGCUCUCAGUCAGAGAGAAGCAGAGCCUGACAGUGCUGUGACUCCCUCUUCUUAAGGAGAUGAGCUUGCAGUAAAGCAAGGAGCACGUGAGAGGAUCUUCUGGAUCGAUACGGCAAGUGCAUCGAGACUGUAGCAACACAUUUAAAACCUUAUAAAAGGUUAUUUAGUUGCUAACGGUGCAGCAGUUUCUGCAAAGCCUGCCAAAAGGUUACAGCUUUUUGGGCAUCAUAAAUUACGGACGACGGGGAAAAAAACUGCCCAACCUGUUCGUCCUGCUCUCCUGCUUGCAGGGAGGUGAGCACUUCCCAUGCGCUGCCCGUGGGGCUGGAGGGGGACAGUGCUGGAUUGGGACAGCAGCGCGCAGUGUUGGCACGUGGAUGAAGGGGCUGGAGCCAGGAGCACUCCUGCAGAUCAUUUCGAUUCGGGUAAAUCAGCGCUUUCCACUCCCCAAAGGAUAUUUCCCACCAGUUGGGCUGCGGGGUCACCUCCAGCAGAGAAGACCUUGAGUGAUGGAUGCUGUGUCUCGCAGCAAGGUGCUCAGAAAGAGCUUGGAAACAGCAUUGGGUCCCAUUGGAAGUGGGGUGAUGGUGUCUGCGCUGCAAAUGAGGACCAACUUGGUGGGGCAUCAACAUGGAUCACAAGGGAAAUGGCCAAAAUGGGUGAGAGGCAUUUCCUUCUUCCCCUCCCUGGAGGGUACACUUUGUGCUGUGCUGUGGGGUUGGUAUGGGGAUUGCCCUGCAAUGGAGCGGCCCAUGUCCCCAUCACCAUCCCAGCCCAGAGGUUCCAUGGGGUGGGCGCUUUCCUCCCUGCUGCUGUCAGGAUGUUUACAGAGCUCGGGAUCAGUCUGGAUCCUGGAGAUGUUCAGCUGUGGCAGCACCGUGCUGGUGGGGUCAAGAGGCCAUUGGUGUGUGUUGCACCCCCCACAGGCAGUGUGAGCUGUCAGAGCCAACACGGGCUCCCAAACCCACUGAAACCUCCCCAUACAUGGGAGUCACCUUCAGGGUGCCAUUUCCAAACCUGAGUGUAAUGUUCCUAAACCCAGGUUUAACCUUCCCAAACCCAUGGUAAUGUUCCCAAAACUGGGGAUAACAUUCCCAGAUUGGGGGAUAAUAUUCCCAAACCUGGGAAUAACAUUCCCAAAUGGGUGAUAGCCUUUUGCUGAGCCCGGCACCCCCAGCACUGCAGCGGCGUUCCCUGCCCGGCUCCCUUGCUGGCACGGAGGCAGAUCUGAGGAGCUGCAGGAAGUACAUUUGUUAUUGGGAACGCUUUGAUAUUUCACAUGUGAAAUGUCUGCAUGCUGGAGGAGUUCAGGCAUCUGGCAGGAAAUUACCAUGAAUCCUGUUUCUC
ensembl:lncRNA